AGAGUGGUCAAAUAUUGACCAAUAAUGUUUCCUUUGUGUGCUUCCCCCUUCCUCUCUUCUGAAUCAUUACUACUUGGAGUCCGAAGACAGCCUGCAUAGGACCGGGGCAGCUUAGUGGGCAGACUUGGUGACCAAGGAAAGAGGCUGGGCCUGAAGCACAGGGAGGGCCUGGUGGGCAUGGAGCGUGGCUGGGAAAGAAGGGGGAGAGGUCAGCAGAGCGGCGGGCAUAGAGCCCAAGGGCAAGGGCCUGGACAGGAGUGGGGGCUGGCUGGCCAUCUGGCUGGAGUUGCUGGCUGCAGCCUUAGCUGACAGGAAGGCAGCUGAGUGGAGAGCCAGCUGGGCCCGGGUCUCCGGUUUGGUGGUGAGCGACAGGGGCUGGGCUUGCUCGGAGUGGGUAGCCGCAGGGGCAGCUGGUGAUGCCAAGGCCGCGGAGGGAGUUGCAGGGGAGUCCAGCGUGCUGCCAUGGGAAGACGCAGGGCUAUCACAAGGCUUCUCAGGGGGCAGGUACUGAAUGCAUGGCUUCUUGCUCUUAGAGGCCAGAGCACCUAAGGGUACAAACACAAGGAAAUAGGAUUGGCUGAUAGCAGGAACAGCAGCAGCUUAGACACAGGAACAUAGCCUCGUGGAUUUGUGGCUCGGUCCGUGGAUUCAAUCCAGAGCCCAUGAGAAAUAGCCAGGGAAAACACCUCGUUGGUACUAAACACAUGCAUUUAUUUUCUUUGCUAUUUUUCGAUAAGCAAACAGAACCUAAUGGCUAUUUCUACAGCAUUCACUGUGAGGGGGAUUAUCCGGCAUCUAGAGUUGGUAUAGGAUCGAUGGAAGAUUUGCAUAAGAUUUAUGCAAAUAUAAGGCCACCCACUCAAGGGGCUUAAGCACCUGGGGUUCAGCUAUUUGAGAAGUGGAAGAUGGUGGGGCCUUGAAACCAAUCCAAAGGAUAUUCAGGUGUGACUGCACAUUGGAAAGCAUGCCACCUCUGGAAGGGAACUUCAGAGAUGAUUCCAGCUAGCUCCUGUUUUUACCUUAUGCAUCGACUGUAGGACAUAACCCUAAAGGGACAGUUCAGCUGCACUGAGACGUGUCUGAGCUUUGAAGACUGUCCCCCCAUUCCCUUUAAAAUACUUGCUGUCUUAAAGAGAGGAACUGGGAAAUCCUCUAAACUCUUCAAAGCUUUAUAUGAGGGCGCUGGGGGCAAACUCAAGGUUGAUUGGCAGUGUUCUCCGCCUCUUACUUGGCCUUCUCUGAAAGAAAGUGCUGCCAUCUGCUACGGUUGCUCAAGAACACCGAGUCUUCAGAGACUCAGGUAACUUAAGCAAGAGUGUCUGGGACAGUGGGAGAGGAAGCAAGGGGCUCCCAGGACUCACCCUCUGCCUCUUGGAUUUGCUGCUGAGACUGUGUCUGUGACAGCUGCUUUUCUCUCUUCCUCUUCUUCUUCUUCCCCUGAAAAACAUGGCCAUGGGACUGAUGAAUAGGGACAGAAUAAUACUGGCUUGUCAAGAGGACUCCAGACUACCUCAGAACACAGAUGGCAGUCCCUCUCCUGAUUGUUCCUGGGUCCAAGGUGCUGGAGAACUGGCCUGGGAGAGAAGCAAAAGCAGCUCUGCCCUGAUUCCUCAUAAAGUCCCUCUGGUAGGGCAACCAAGCUUCUUGAUCCUGAUGGCCUUCAAGCUAGUCUGUCUCUUGCAUCCUUUACUCCCUAGAAGAGUGGUUACUCCCUCCUACUCACAAUGUGUGUGUGCAUGAAUGUGCACAUUAUAUAUGUAUGUAAGUACAUACAAUGUACAUGGGGACCAGAGGACAACCCUGGAUGGCAUUCCUCAGUCACUGUCUACCUUUUUUGGAGACACGGUCUCUUCAUGGGCCUGGAACUUACCAAACAGGCUAGGCUGGCUGGCUGGCUAGUGAACCCAAAGGAUUGUUCUGUCCAGGGCUGAGAGUCUAGGUACACACCACCAUGCCCCAGUUCUUCAUGUAGGUGUUGAAGAUUAACACUUGACCUCUUGCCAAGCAGGCAUUUCACCUACUGAGCUAUCGCCCUGGCCUGGUUGUUGAUCUUCUCUGAGCAGCCCCAGAUCCCUCUGAAAACUUGAUGCAGCUACUACAAACCCUCUCACCAAGUUUAAAAAAAAGAAAGAAAGAAAGAAAGAAAGAAAGAAAGAAAGAAAGAAAGAAAAGGAAAAGAGAGAAUAAAAGCAUAUAUACAAAAAUCCAAUAAGUCUUGCGGAGUUUCUAGACACAGCCCCCCCCAAAUUCAAACUUGGCUUCCUUAUUUAUAGGAAACAAGUCUCCUCCUCUAGAAUCAAGCCCAAGUAGCCUGCUCUCCCUCCUCUGCAUCCUGAAGAUGCCGCUCCCAAGGUCUGCAUUCCCGCACGCGCCGUGUGAACACUUACAUAGUUGUCCCGGGCUGACCAGGUCGGGUAGAGCUGCGCGUGAAGCUGCCGUUCUUUCCGGGCGAGCUCAUAGUACUUGGCCUGUUCUUCUCUUGACAGGUUGUGCCACUAAGGGAGAGAGGGUGAAGACACAGAGCGAUCAGGGUCGGGGGAGGCACUGAAGCCUGCUGCCAGGAAGAGUUGACAGGAGCAGGCAUUACCUUUCUUCCCAGGAUUUGGUUAAUGGCUGCACUUUCCUUCAGGGUACACUCGGCCACCACCUUGGCCCUCAUCUCCUUCAUAUACAACAUGAAGGCAUUCAGAGGCUUUUUCACGUGACAGACUGGUUUAUGGCCAGAAGUGGCAGUCACUAAUAUCCCUGGACUGUGACAUCAUGUUGGCAGCCCCAGCCCUACGACUCACCUAGACAUUGAAGCAUUCAUGGCGAGGGCAGGGAGCUGCCUGCCCUGCAUGCCCAGGAGGACCACACCCUGGGAAGCCCUUGUCUUUCCUCAUCUCUACCCGUUUCAUCUUCUAGCAGGACUAGGCGGUCACCUCAAGGGCAUCCAAGGAAGCGAGGACCCAGAUACCAUCUCUCUAGCUACCCAGAAGCCAUCUCUGUGGAUGUAACUUUCUUUUGUUGACUGGACAAGGAUUCAUACAAGGUCCAGGAAAUACUCAACAGAGAGCAAAAAUUAUCCUAAGCCCUCAUUUAUUUAACUUUCUAGAAAAACAGCUUCAUUCCCAAUACAAUAAACGUACUCUGUCAAUAAAGCACCCUGCCUCUAAA